rnacentral:rRNA from 1 species
CCUACGGGAGGCAGCAGUGAGGAAUAUUGGUCAAUGGACGAGAGUCUGAACCAGCCAAGUAGCGUGAAGGAUGACUGCCCUAUGGGUUGUAAACUUCUUUUAUAUGGGAAUAAAACGUUCCACGUGUGGGAUUUUGUAUGUACCAUAUGAAUAAGGAUCGGCUAACUCCGUGCCAGCAGCCGCGGUAAUACGGAGGCUCCGAGCGUUAUCCGGAUUUAUUGGGUUUAAAGGGAGCGUAGGUGGAUUGUUAAGUCAGUUGUGAAAGUUUGCGGCUCAACCGUAAAAUUGCAGUUGAAACUGGCAGUCUUGAGUACAGUAGAGGUGGGCGGAAUUCGUGGUGUAGCGGUGAAAUGCUUAGAUAUCACGAAGAACUCCGAUUGCGAAGGCAGUUCACUGGACUGCAACUGACACUGAGGCUCGAAAGUGUGGGUAUCAAACAGGAUUAGAUACCCCUGUAGUC